GACGAACGCUGGCGGUGUGCUUAACACAUGCAAGUCGAACGGUAAGGCCCUUUCGGGGGUACCCGAGUGGCGAACGGGUGAGUAACACGUGAGUAACCUGCCCUCAUCUCUGGGAUAACAGUCGGAAACGGUUGCUAAUACUGGAUAUGAGCUUGCAAGGCAUCUUGUGGGUUGGAAAGAUUUUUUUGGUUGGGGAUGGACUCGCGGCCUAUCAGCUUGUUGGUGAGGUAGUGGCUCACCAAGGCUUCGACAGGUAGCCGGCCUGAGAGGGCGACCGGCCACAUUGGGACUGAGAUACGGCCCAAACUCCUACGGGAGGCAGCAGUGGGGAAUAUUGCACAAUGGACGGAAGUCUGAUGCAGCAACGCCGCGUGCGGGAUGACGGCCUUCGGGUUGUAAACCGCUUUCAAUUGUGACGAAGCUUUUUGUGACGGUAGCAGUAGAAGAAGCACCGGCUAACUACGUG
rnacentral:rRNA from 1 species